AUUGAACGCUGGCGGCAGGCCUAACACAUGCAAGUCGAGCGGAUGUAGUUAGCUUGCUCCUGGAUUCAGCGGCGGACGGGUGAGUAAUUCCUAGGAAUCUGCCUGGUAGUGGGGGAUAACGUCCGGAAACGGGCGCUAAUACCGCAUACGUCCUGCGGGUGCAAGUUGGGGAUCUUCGGACCUCACGCUAUCAGAUGAGCCUAGGUCGGAUUAGCUAGUUGGUGGGGUAAAGGCCUACCAAGGCGACGAUCCGUAACUGGUCUGAGAGGAUGAUCAGUCACACUGGAACUGAGACACGGUCCAAACUCCUACGGGAGGCAGCAGUGGGGAAUAUUGGACAAUGGGCGAAAGCCUGAUCCAGCCAUGCCGCGUGUGUGAAGAAGGUCUUCGGAUUGUAAAGCACUUUAAGUUGGGAGGAAGGGCAGUAAGUUAAUACCUUGAUGUUUUGACGUUACCAAAAGAAUAAGCACCGGCUAACUUCGUG
rnacentral:rRNA from 1 species